UCCUGCUUGUUCUGCUGGCCCGCAAUCGAAGCAGCAGGCAAGCUGCCAAGAGCUCCUUUUCUCCCGCCUCUCAGCUGAUCGGCGGGUGGGCGGGGCUUCCACGGAGGCCUCCGUGUAGGCCGCAGUGAAGCCUGAACUCGAGUAGGGCCCAAGCCAGCCAGGAAGGAGGAGGUAGCCAGAGUGGCCAGCACUGCUCUCUGCAGCAGAAGACUCCUUGCUGCCCUGCUUAACCCAGACCAGCAUUUGCCAGGUAAAGACAUAAUUUUGUUCGGAUCUCUUGUAGUCUGAAUUUGUUUCCCACCCCAUGCUUAUUUACCAUCCUACUCUGCCUGAGUUAUUGUUGGAGACAGAGAGAUACUGUGGGCUGUUUGGUGAAAGCAGCGAAGAAGAAGAAAAGACUUCCACUUGGCGGCACCAGUAAAAGCCAAAGGGUAGGGGAAGCAAGAGGUUAGUUUGCUUGCCCUUCUCUUAUUCACAGGGCUGGUUCCUGCCAGGCCAUGAUGGGUGCACAGAAGAGAGAACCAAUUUCCAGUAAUUCCUUCCUUCCCUGUACAGCCACCCGUGCAGCCCUCAGGGACAUAUUUCUGACUGCUGGGGGGACAUAGCUGAAAACCCUAACCUCUCCCCUUUCCCCAUGGAAGCAUUCCGUGCACAUAAUUUUUGGUUUGGAUGUAAACACUUCAGAAUAGCUAUUUUAAACAUUUCAUUUUAAGAAUUAAAGAACUUCUAAGUGGCUCUUUUAUUCUCUAUAGAG